rnacentral:rRNA from 1 species
AUUGACCUCGGAUCAGGUAGGGAUACCCGCUGAACUUAAGCAUAUCAAUAAGCGGAGGAAAAGAAACCAACAGGGAUUGCCCUAGUAACGGCGAGUGAAGCGGCAACAGCUCAAAUUUGAAAUCUGGCUCUUUCAGGGUCCGAGUUGUAAUUUGUAGAGGGUGCUUUGGCGUUGGUUGUGGUCUAAGUUCCUUGGAACAGGACGUCACAGAGGGUGAGAAUCCCGUACGUGGCCGCCAGCCUCCGCCGUGUAAAGCCCCUUCGAUGAGUCGAGUUGUUUGGGAAUGCAGCUCUAAAUGGGAGGUAAAUUUCUUCUAAAGCUAAAUAUUUGCCAGAGACCGAUAGCGCACAAGUAGAGUGAUCGAAAGAUGAAAAGCACUUUGGAAAGAGAGUCAAAAAGCACGUGAAAUUGUUGAAAGGGAAGCGCUUGCAGCUAGACGUGCCUUUGGUUGAUCAGCCGGACUUUUGCCCGGUGCACUCUUCCUUUGGCAGGCCAGCAUCAGUUUGGGCGGCUGGAUAAAGGUCUGUUAAACGUGACUUCCUUCGGGGAGAGCUUAUAGGGCAGACGACAUGCAGCCAGCCUGAACUGAGGUCCGCGCAUCUGCUAGGAUGCUGGCGUAAUAGCUGUAAGCGGCCCGUCUUGAAACACGGACCAAGGAGUCUAACAUCUAUGCGAGUGUUUGGGUGUCAAGCCCGAGCGCGCAAUGAAAGUAAACGGAGGUGGGAACCCUUGGGUGCACCAUCGACCGAUCCUGAUGUCUUCGGAUGGAUUUGAGUAAGAGCAUAGCUGUUGGGACCCGAAAGAUGGUGAACUAUGCCUGAAUAGGGUGAAGCCAGAGGAAACUCUGGUGGAGGCUCGCAGCGGUUCUGACGUGCAAAUCGAUCGUCAAAUUUGGGCAUAGGGGCGAAAGACUAAUCGAA